ACGGAGUAAUAAAAUAAGUUUACUUAGAUUAUUACUUAGUGGCGAACGGGUGAGUAACGCGUGGGUAACCUGCCCUUAAGACCGGGACAACAGCUGGAAACGGCUGCUAAUACCGGAUGGAUUUAUUGGAAGGCAUCUUCUAAUAAGGAAAGCUGGCCUCUGUAUAUGCUAGCGCUUAGGGGAUGGAUCCGCGUCUGAUUAGCUAGUUGGUAGGGUAAUGGCCUACCAAGGCGACGAUCAGUAGCCGGCCUGAGAGGGUAAACGGCCACACUGGGACUGAGACACGGCCCAGACUCCUACGGGAGGCAGCAGUGGGGAAUCUUCCGCAAUGGACGAAAGUCUGACGGAGCAACGCCGCGUGUAUGAAGAAGGCCUUCGGGUUGUAAAAUACUGUUGUUGGGGAAGAACGGCUGGAGUGUAAAUAAUGCUUCAGAUUGACGGUACCCAACGAGGAAGCCCCGGCUAACUACGUG
rnacentral:rRNA from 1 species